GGCUCGGUAGCUUAGUUGGUAAACCACUUGUCUAGCGUAUAAGGAUUGCGAGUUCGAAUCUCCUCUGAGCUG
rnacentral:tRNA from 1 species